AGUGAACGCUGGCGGUAGGCCUAACACAUGCAAGUCGAACGGCAGCACAGGAGAGCUUGCUCUCUGGGUGGCGAGUGGCGGACGGGUGAGGAAUACAUCGGAAUCUACUUUUUCGUGGGGGAUAACGUAGGGAAACUUACUCUAAUACCGCAUACGACCUACGGGUGAAAGCAGGGGAUCUUCGGACCUUGCGCGAUUGAAUGAGCCGAUGUCGGAUUAGCUAGUUGGCGGGGUAAAGGCCCAACAAGGCGACGAUCCGUAGCUGGUCUGAGAGGAUGAUCAGCCACACUGGAACUGAGACACGGUCCAGACUCCUACGGGAGGCAGCAGUGGGGAAUAUUGGACAAUGGGCGCAAGCCUGAUCCAGCCAUACCGCGUGGGUGAAGAAGGCCUUCGGGUUGUAAAGCCCUUUUGUUGGGAAAGAAAUCCAGCUGGUUAAUACCCGGUUGGGAUGACGGUACCCAAAGAAUAAGCACCGGCUAACUUCGUGCCAGCAGCCGCAGUAA
rnacentral:rRNA from 1 species